UACGGAGGGUGCGAGCGUUGUCCGGAAUCAUUGGGCGUAAAGGGCGCGUAGGUGGCCUGCUAAGCGUGCGGUGAAAGCUCGGGGCUCAACCCCGAGUCGGCCGUGCGAACUGGUGGGCUUGAGCACUGUAGAGGCAGGCGGAAUUCCGGGUGUAGCGGUGGAAUGCGUAGAGAUCCGGAAGAACACCGGUGGCGAAGGCGGCCUGCUGGGCAGUAACUGACGCUGAGGAGCGAAAGCGUGGGGAGCGAACAGG
rnacentral:rRNA from 1 species